AGUAAUGUCUGGGAAACUGCCUGAUGGAGGGGGAGUAACUACUGGAAACGGUAGCUAAUACCGCAUAACGUCGCAAGACCAAAGAGGGGGACCGUUCGGGCCUCUUGCCAUCAGAUGUGCCCAGAUGGGAUUAGCUAGUAGGUGGGGUAACGGCUCACCUAGGCGACGAUCCCUAGCUGGUCUGAGAGGAUGACCAGCCACACUGGAACUGAGACACGGUCCAGACUCCUACGGGAGGCAGCAUG
rnacentral:rRNA from 1 species